ACCAUAAGUCACUCUGUUUCCCUUUUAUUGUUUCGGAUACUUCACAUGACAUAUUACAUCAAUAUCUAAAUGAGUACAAAUGAGUAGACCAGCAGUAAGCAGACUCGAUAAACAAUUAAAAAGUAGUGCCAUAAAACACAAACUACGUACAACCUUUGAGAGUCUUUCAUGUUAUUACCAGGUGCAUUUGUAAAAACAGUUAUAUUUAUGCUCAUGUUAUGUCAGCAGAAUAAACACAGAGCUUCUCAGUGUACUUCAAUCCCAAAUAGUUACAGAUUAUCACCAGGGUCAUACAAUAGCUUUGAGAAAAGAACAAAAGUGAUAGUUAAAAUAUCAUAACAUUAUAAAUAUAUGAAAUAAAUAACAGGUUAAUAAGUUACAAUAAGGAUAAUAAAUUACGUUCCUUACAAUCCAUCAAGUUCGUAAAUAACUCACUAUGUGUACAACAUGUAAAUGUGGGUUCUUCUUAGUCUCUUGUUCCAGUCCACUUAAUAAUUCCACAGAACUGCUGUAACAACUGCAACAACUAAAUAGAAACUUGUCCUGUUGAUGACUGCAGAGGAAGCUGUGGUGGUGGUUGUUGUUGCAAAUGUAGACGGAGCUGCUGUUGUCAUUGCGGCUGCUGAUAUUGUUGUUGGGUUGGCUGUUGUUGCCGGUGCGGUUGGUGUUGUUGCAGCAGCAAUUGUCAUUGUUGCGGAUGAUGUUGUUGUAGGUGCUGUGGUUAUUUGUGGGGUGUUCGUGGUUGUUGACGGUGCUACUGUAGUUGUUGCAGCUGGCACAGUAGUUGUUGCGGCUGCUACUGUAGUUGCUGCGGGUGCAGCUGUAGUUGUUAGAGCUGCUGUAGUUGUGGCUGGGGCUCUUGUUGUGGUUGCUGCUGCUGCUGUUGGGUUGGCUGUGGUUGUUGCAGCUACCACUGUAGUCAUUGAUGGUGCAGGUGUAGUUGUUAGAGCUGCUGUAGUUGUGGCUGGGGCAUUUGUGGUGGUUGCUGCUGCUGCAGUUGUUGCUGCUGCUACUGUAGUUAUUGCACCUGGUACUGUAGUUGUUGUGGCUACCACUGUAGUUGUUGCGGCUGCUACUGUUGAGGUUGUUACUGUAGUUGUUGCAGGUGCAGCUGUAUUUGUUAGAGCUGCUGUAGUUGUGGCUGGGGCAUCUGUGGUGGCUGCUGCUCCUGCAAUUGUUGUGGUUGCUGCUGUUGUUGUCGGGUUUACUGUAGUUGAGGCGGCUGGUACCGUAGUUGUUGCGGCUACCACUGUAGUUGUAGCAGCUGCUACUGUAGUUGUAGCGGCUGCUACUGUAGUUGCUGCGGGUGCAGCUGUAGUUGUUAGAGCUGCUGUAGUUGUGGCUGGGGCAUUUGUGGUGGUUGCUGCUGCUGCAGCUGUUGCUGCUGCUACUGUAGUUAUUGCAGCUGUAGUUGGUGUGGCUACCAAUGUAGUUGUUGCGGCUGCUACUGUAGUUGUUGCAGUUGGUACUGUAGUUGUUGUGGCUGCCACUGUUGUUGCAGUUGCAGCUGUAGUUGUUAGAGCUGCUGUGGUGGUUGCUGCUGCUGGGUUGGCUGUGGUUGUUUCCGCUGCUACUGUAGUUGUUGCGGCUGGUACUGUAGUUGUUGUGGCUACCACUGUAGUUGUUGCGGCUGCUACUAUAGUUGUUGCAGGUGCAGCUGUAGUUGUUAGAGCUGCUGUAGUUGUGGCUGGGGCAUCUGUGGUGGCUGCUUCUCCUGCAAUUGGUGUGGUUGCUGCUGUUGUUGGGUUUACUGUAGUUGUUGUGGCUGGUACCGUAGUUGUUGCGGCUACCACUGUUGUUGUUGUGGCUGCUACUGUAGUUGUAGCGGCUGCUACUGUAGUUGCUGCGGGUGCAGCUGUAGUUGUAAGAGCUGCUGUAGUUGUGGCUGGGGCAAUUGUUGUGGUCGCUGCUGCUGUUGUUGGGUUUGCUGUAGUUGUUGCGGCUGCUACUGUGGUUGUUGCAGCUGGUACUGUAGUGGUUGCAGCUGGUGGUGUAGUUGUUACAGUUGGUAUUGUAGUCGUUGCUGGUGUAGGUGUAGUUGUUAGAGCUGCUGUAGUUGUGGCUGGGGCAUUUGUGGUGGUUGCUGCUGCUGCUGUUGUUGUUGGGUUUGCUGUAACUGUUGCGGCUGCUACUGUGGUUGUUGCGUCUGGUACUGUAGUCGUCGCGGCUGCUCCUGUAGUUACUGCAGAUGCUGCUGUAGUUGUUGCAGCUGGUACUGUAGUUGUUGCUGGUGCUGCAGUUGUUGCAGGUGCAGCUGUAGUUGUUGCGGCUGCAACUGAAGUCGUCGCGGCUGCUCCUGUAGUUAUUUCAGCUGGUACUGUAGUUGCUGCUGCUGCAGUUGUUGCGGAUGCUGCUGUAGUUGUUGCUGCUGCUGCAGUUGUUGCAGGUGCAGCUGUAGUUUCAGCUGGUCGUGUAGUUGUUGCUGCUGCUGCAGUUGUUGCGGAUGCUGCUAUAGUUGUUGCAGCUGGUACUGCAGUUGUUGCAGAUGCUGAUGUAGAUGUUGCAGCUGGUACUGUAGUUGUUAAAGGUGCAGCUGUAGUUGUUGCGGCUGCAACUGAAGUCGUCACGGCUGCUCCAGUAGUUGUUGCGGAUGCUGCUGUAGUUGUUUCAGCUGGUACUGUAGUUGUUGCUGCUGCUGCAGUUGUUGGUAGGUUAGCUGUAGUUGUCGCGGAUGCUACUUUAGUUGUUCCAGCUGGUACUGUAGUUGUUGUGGCUGCCACUGUUGUUGCAGUUGCAGCUGUAGUUGUUAGAGCUGCUGUGGUGGUUGCUGCUGCUGGGUUGGCUGUGGUUGUUUCCGCUGCUACUGUAGUUGUUGCGGCUGGUACUGUAGUUGUUGUGGCUACCACUGUAGUUGUUGCGGCUGCUACUAUAGUUGUUGCAGGUGCAGCUGUAGUUGUUAGAGCUGCUGUAGUUGUGGCUGUGGCAUCUGUGGUGGCUGCUUCUCCUGCAAUUGGUGUGGUUGCUGCUGUUGUUGUUGGGGUUGCUGUAGUUGUUGCGGCUACCACUGCUGUUGUUGUGGCUGCUACUGUAGUUGUAUCGGCUGCUACUGUAGAUGCUGCGGAUGCAGCUGUAGUUGUAAGAGCUGCUGUAGUUGUUGGCUGGGGCAAAUGGUUGUGAUUGCUGCUGCUGUUGUUGUUGGGUUUGCUGUAGUUGUUGCGGCUGCUACUGUGGUUGUUGCGGCUGGUACUGUAGUGGUUGCAGCUGGUACUGUAGUUGUUGUGGCUGCCACUGUAGUUGUUACAGUUGGUACUGUAGUCGGUGCUGGUGCAGGUGUAGUUGUUAGAGCUGCUGUAGUUGUGGCUGGGGCAUCUGUGGUGGUUGCUGCCACUGCAGUUGUUGUUGGGUUGGCUGUAGUUGUUGUGGCUGGUACCGUAGUGGUCGUGGCUGUCACUGUUGUUUCGGCUGCUACUGUAGUUGUUGCAGGUGGUACUGUUG
ensembl:lncRNA